rnacentral:rRNA from 1 species
UACGUAGGGUGCAAGCGUUAAUCGGAAUUACUGGGCGUAAAGCGUGCGCAGGCGGUUGUGCAAGACAGGUGUGAAAUCCCCGGGCUUAACCUGGGAACUGCACUUGUGACUGCACGGCUAGAGUACGGCAGAGGGGGAUGGAAUUCCGCGUGUAGCAGUGAAAUGCGUAGAUAUGCGGAGGAACACCGAUGGCGAAGGCAGUCCCCUGGGCCUGUACUGACGCUCAGGCACGAAAGCUAGGGGAGCAAACAGG